rnacentral:rRNA from 1 species
AGAGUUUGAUCCUGGCUCAGGAUGAACGCUAGCGGCAGGCUUAACACAUGCAAGUCGAGGGGUAACAGGGAAAAGCUUGCUUUUUUGCUGACGACCGGCGAACGGGUGCGUAACGCGUAUAGAAUCUGCCUUGUACAGGAGGAUAGCCUUUAGAAAUGAAGAUUAAUACUCCAUAAUGUAGAGUAGUGGCAUCGCUAUUUUAUUAAAGAUUUAUUGGUACAAGAUGACUAUGCGUCCUAUUAGCUAGAUGGUAAGGUAACGGCUUACCAUGGCGACGAUAGGUAGGGGGUCUGAGAGGAUUAUCCCCCACACUGGUACUGAGACACGGACCAGACUCCUACGGGAGGCAGCAGUGAGGAAUAUUGGUCAAUGGAGGCAACUCUGAACCAGCCAUGCCGCGUGCAGGAAGACUGCCCUAUGGGUUGUAAACUGCUUUUAUACAGGAAGAAACAGAUCUACGUGUAGUUCCUUGACGGUACUGUAAGAAUAGCACCGGCUAACUCCGUGCCAGCAGCCGCGGUAAUAC